UUAAUCAAGAGCUCCAGUUUCUCGUUCGCGAGAAGACUAUUACUUGAGCCGUAUUGCUUCGAAGUUGAAUUCUCAGUGACAUUCCAAAGUGAUUGCUUAGGUGCCGGAUAUAAUAAGAAGCUUGAAUACGCUGGGAUCUACACCUGCAAUGGCUUGAUGAUGCAUACGAAGAAGAACUUGACUGGAAUCAAAGGUUUAGGAGGCUAAAGUUGAUGAGAUAUGCGAAGCUGCUGGAAACCAUUUCAGCUCAAAGAUAUUAUAUCUCAUCUGUGUUCUUUGGUUGUAAGCAUUUAUGUUGCUGAAAUGUUCAGAGAGAAAUACUUCAGAGACAAAUUCAACUUGUUAUUCAUAGUUUGAUACAUAUUCAACGUGUUGCUGAAAUGUUCAUCUAAUGGCAGAGGAAAUACUUCGGAGACAAAUUCAACUUGUUAUUCAUAGGUUGAGAGAGGCUCUAGAUGGCGCUGACAGGUUCCAAAAUACCCAUCAAAUGAAACAAUUUCAAUCUGCAAAAUUUAGUAUAGAUCAGGUAACUUUCAUGUGGCACGUUUUUCUUUCAUACUUCUUUUGGAUGAUAUGGCAGUAGAGGAAACAU